GCCUACAGCCAUACCACCCUGAACGCGCCCGAUCUCGUCUGAUCUCGGAAGCUAAGCAGGGUCGGGCAUGCUUAGUACGUGGAUUGGAGACCACCUGGGAUAUGAUACCGGGUGCUGUAGGCU
ensembl:rRNA LOC120096069 5S ribosomal RNA